ACGCGCACGACAAUCCCUGCUGUCUGUCGCACCCCAGCUCCCUGCUACCCCGGCCGGAGGGCCUUACACCGCUCCCCGGGGCCCGGCACGCCGCCCGGGCACCUCGGCGGCGUCGCGGCAUCCCCGCCGCGGCACCACGCUCUGCGCCGGCCGCAGCGCGACCCCAGGCCCGGGCCCGCCGCGGCACCUGCCCCGCCGCCGCACGCUCGGGGGACGGGCCGGGGGCGCACGGCAUUAAAAGAGAACCAAAAGCCUUCCAGCCCAGCCGCCAAAAGCCUUACAACCAACCAAAAAAAAUCCAGAAAACAAACCCCACAAAAUCCAGGAAACCCAAACCCCUCUGGUUUGUUUUUUUGUUUGUUUGACUGGGGUUUUUUUUUCGCCCACCAGGAAAUUUGUGGCUCGCUCCUCUUUGUCCGAGCGUCGAGCGCGACCGCGGCUGAGCAUCACCCGCCGCGCCCGCGGCACUGCCCGCUCCCGAGGCGGCGCGGCCGGAGCCUCCCCCGCAUCGCCCCGCCCAGCACGGGCCCCGCCGCCCCCGGGCACCUCGCUCGGCCCUCGCUCGCCGCUGCCCGGCCGCGGCGCCGGCGGUGCGGAAAACACCGGCGGUCCCCGGCGGCUGCGCAACGCAACCCCCGCCAUGGCUCCCAGCGGGCCCCCGGGAAAGGGAGUGGCCGCUGCCCAGCCCACCGGCAGGUACGGGGCAGGGCGACUAGCGCGGCACCCCACAGCCCUGCCCCGCCACUCACCGCUGCCCACGGCGGCGCCCGCUCCUUUGUGUGCCCGCCGCGCCCCGGCACCUCCGUCUCCCGCUGCCGGGCGCCCCGCGCCCCCUCCCCGCCGCGCUGGGGGCGGAGGAGGACGCAGCCGAGAUCCGCGGAGGAGGCCGCUACCGCCCGCCCGUCACAUGCAGCAAAAAGGCGCGGCGCAGGCUCCCGGCGGCUCCCCGGGAGCCCGGCCGGCAGCGUCCGAGGCGAGCUCGGGGGUGAAGAUGGCGACCUCGGCGGCGGGGGAGGGAAUCCCCGGGCCGGCCCGCUCCGCUCCGCUCCGCGCUGCCGGCUGGGCUGGGCGCGCCGGGGAGGGGAGGGGACAAAGAGCGGCUGCCGCUGCCCGUCAGCGCUAUCGCUGUGCCGCCCGCUCCUCCUCCGCCGCCUCCGCGCCGGCCAACCUCCGCCCGCUCCGCGGCGCGCC
rnacentral:lncRNA from 1 species